GAACUUUGUUGAGACAAAAGUAGGCAGCCAGAUAGCCAAGUGGGCAGUAAUUUUGGCCAGCUACAGGCCCUUAAUGACAGCUCUGGGUACAAAAACCCCACAAAAUUUCUCACUAGAUUACUUCUUCUGUUUACGUUACGGCAAGGCCUCUUCUAAUCCACCAUACCAUUUACUCCUCUGACCAGUGUGACGACCAGCAACGUUACCUGGCUCCAAUUGUCGAUGUAGAGAGGUAUGCUUUUCUGGGGUAAAUUAAAGGUAGGAAUAGCACCAGCUACA